GAUAAUGUAUAUAGGUGUAUAUAGGGUCUAUAUGGGGAUAGAUGGACAGACAGACAGACGUUCUGGUCCUGAAGUUGUCGACAACCUGGAUUCACAAGAAAAGAGCGCGACAGCACGUCUGGUCACCAGCUGCCUGUCCCACACUCACUGCAGGAGUUCCUAAAGGACCUGACACAAGGGUCACAUCUGUUCUGGAUCGGACUGUCCCUCUCCUCCCCGGAGAAGGGCUGGACCUGGCUGGACGGCUCCCGGCUGAAUCAGACCCUGUUCCUGGUGUCAGGCCCGGCUGAGGGGAAUAGCUGUGGGGUGUUGAACAGGAAUCGGAUUCGUUCUGACACCUGCAGCUCUGUACUUCGGUGGAUCUGCCAGAGAGACGCCGUCCCGCUCUGAGCAGGGCGUCCAUGGCCUUUUAAUAAUGGAAAGGAGCCUUUCAUCAAUAAAAGCAUCAGGAGUGAUCUUUGACACUUUA